UAGGGAAUAUUGGACAAUGGGUGCAAGCCUGAUCCAGCCAUGCCGCGUGCAGGAAGAAGGCCUUCUGGGUCGUAAACUGCUUUUGCCGGGGGAUAAAAUAGCUUUGCGAAGCGAAUUGAAGGUACCUGGUGAAUAAGCCACGGCUAACUACGUGCCAGCAGCCGCGGUAAUACGUAGGUGGCAAGCGUUGUCCGGAUUUAUUGGGUUUAAAGGGUGCGUAGGCGGUCAAAUAAGUCAGUGGUGAAAUACGGCAGCUUAACUGUCGAGGUGCCAUUGAUACUGCUUGACUUGAGUACUGAUGAGGUAGGCGGAAUGGACGGUGUAGCGGUGAAAUGCUUAGAGAUCGUCCAGAACACCGAUAGCGAAGGCAGCUUACUAAGGAGUAACUGACGCUGAGGCACGAAAGUGUGGGGAUCAAACAGG
rnacentral:rRNA from 1 species